AUUUACAGGAAGGAAAAUGUGAGACUGCUGCACAUUUCUGCUGCUUGCGACAUUUGAGCUGUUACUAUGGACACCCAUUGUGACGUCGCUGUAAAGAACUGGGAUUAUGGCAGAUGAAUUCUGAAGGACAAAGGCCAUUUAUUUGUGCAGAUCACUUCAUUACUGAAUAAAGAACAAAAACAACUUGCA